rnacentral:rRNA from 1 species
UACAGAGGGUGCAAGCGUUAAUCGGAAUUACUGGGCGUAAAGCGCGCGUAGGUGGUUCAGUAAGUUGGAUGUGAAAUCCCCGGGCUCAACCUGGGAACUGCAUCCAAAACUGCUGAGCUAGAGUACGGUAGAGGGUGGUGGAAUUUCCUGUGUAGCGGUGAAAUGCGUAGAUAUAGGAAGGAACACCAGUGGCGAAGGCGACCACCUGGACUGAUACUGACACUGAGGUGCGAAAGCGUGGGGAGCAAACAGG